UACGUAGGGUGCUAGCGUUGUUCGGAAUCAUUGGGCAUAAAGCGCGUGUAGGCGGUCAGUUAAGUCGGGUGUGAAAUCCCUGGGCUCAACCGAAGAAGUGCAUCCGAAACUAACUGGCUUGAAGACGGCAGAGGAAGGUGGAAUUCCAAGUGUAGAGGUGAAAUUCGUAGAUAUUUGGAGGAAUACCGGUGGCGAAGGCGGCCUUCUGGACCGAUCUUGACGCUGAGACGCGAAAGCGUGGGGAGCAAACGG
rnacentral:rRNA from 1 species